GCGGGAAAAAGCACCGCGCGCACUCGCCUGUGGUAGCGGCUGAGAUUUCUCCUGCUCGCUUCAGGCGCAGUGGAUUUUUGUGCAUUUUUUAGGAAAAGUGAAAUGUCGUGAACAUACUGAUUAAUAACAGAUGAUCGAUCGAGUCUUGGUCACAUUGAUUGAUAAAGAAAGUCAUGUAAGUGGAUUUCCACACUGAGCUGAGCAUUGCAGUGUCCUGCAGUUUCUGAGAAGCAUCCUGUUGGGCGGUCUGUACCCGUGCACCGUGUUUACAGCUUUGAACACCAUGCUGAAACUGGGCAGGACCAGCUGUAUACUUGGGCAGCAUCCAGCCACCCCACCUCACUCUGUGGACCAGUACAAGGGCCACUUCUGGUCCCUGUGACCCCUGAGAUAUACUGGGACUGGGAGUAGAAUCUGUGUGGAGUUUGCAUAUUAUUUCAUGGUUCAGUGACUAACAACUCUUCGUGUAACUCCCCU
rnacentral:lncRNA from 1 species